GAACGCUGGCGGCGUGCUUAACGCAUGCAAGUCGAACGGAAAGGCCCUGCUUGCAGGGUACUCGAGUGGCGAACGGGUGAGUAACACGUGGGUGAUCUGCCCUGCACUUCGGGAUAAGCCUGGGAAACUGGGUCUAAUACCGGAUAGGAGCCAUUUUUAGUGUGAUGGUUGGAAAGUUUUUUCGGUGUAGGAUGAGCUCGCGGCCUAUCAGCUUGUUGGUGGGGUAAUGGCCUACCAAGGCGGCGACGGGUAGCCGGCCUGAGAGGGUGGACGGCCACAUUGGGACUGAGAUACGGCCCAGACUCCUACGGGAGGCAGCAGUGGGGAAUAUUGCACAAUGGGCGCAAGCCUGAUGCAGCGACGCCGCGUGGGGGAUGACGGCCUUCGGGUUGUAAACUCCUUUCGCUAGGGACGAAGCUUUUUGUGACGGUACCUAGAUAAGAAGCACCGGCUAACUACGUG
rnacentral:rRNA from 1 species